rnacentral:lncRNA from 1 species
UGGUGACGACGCUGGGGGAGGUUUUCACGCCGGACGAGGUGAGCUUGCUCAUGAAAGAUGCCAAGGUGAAUGCCGAGGGGAUGAUCAACUACGAGGGCCUCAUCAAGAUGAUGAUGAAGAAGUGAGCGAGCGAGUGCGGAAGAAAAAGCUAGAGGAGAAGUACCAUACCUCGGGCCGGAGAUCCUUGUCUCCUCGAAAGUGAUGGAUUUUCGCGGCUUGAAGCUCGUCGAUGUCCACAACUCCAAUCCCUUUUGAUCCCCACGCGUUAAGUUACGCCUUGAUCAAAGCCUCGAAACCAGAACAAGAAGAAACUUACAUUCGUAGCCACGAAGAACACCACUGAAAGAAAAAAAAAUGAGAAUGUUUCAUACACACAAGAGUUCUCUUACCUUUCUCGUUUCUGAGAGAUUUUCUGGACGAUUAGCCAGCAAGCUUAAAGCUGUGAUCAUCGCAAACAUCACUUUCUCAAACGUCAAGGAAGAGAAAAGCUCACUCCUGAGGCUUGGGCUGCGGGAUCAGCGCCGCCAAGAUCACCAAUC